UGGUGGGUUGCCUUGUCAGGUUGAUUCCGGUAACGAACGAGACCUCAGCCUGCUAAAUAGUCACGGUCGCUCCGGCGGCCGGCGGACUUCUUAGAGGGACUAUUGGCGAUUAGCCAAUGGAAGCAUGAGGCAAUAACA
rnacentral:rRNA from 1 species